AUGACUCAGUGGUAGAGUGCUUGCCUUGCAUGCAUGAAGUCCUGGGUUUGAUCCCUCAGU
rnacentral:tRNA from 1 species